UAAGGUCCGUCGUCAAAAGGGAAACAGCCCUAACCUACAGCUAAGGUCCCCAAGUAAUACCUAAGUGCGAAAGCAUGUGGGAAUCCCAAAACAACCAGGAGGUUGGCUUAGAAGCAGCCACCCUUUAAAGAAAGCGUAAUAGCUCACUAGUCGAGUCGGCCUGCGCGGAAGAUGUAACGGGGCUAAAACUGUGUACCGAAGCUGCGGAGCGGUCUCUUCUUAUGGAGAGGUCGUUGGUAGGGGAGCGUUCUGUA
rnacentral:rRNA from 14 species